rnacentral:rRNA from 1 species
AGUGAACGCUGGCGGUAGGCCUAACACAUGCAAGUCGAACGGCAGCACAGUAAGAGCUUGCUCUUACGGGUGGCGAGUGGCAGACGGGUGAGAAAUACAUCGGAAUCUACUUUUUCGUGGGGGAUAACGUAGGGAAACUUACGCUAAUACCGCAUACGACCUACGGGUGAAAGCAGGGGAUCUUCGGACCUUGCGCGAUUGAAUGAGCCGCUGUCGGAUUAGCUAGUUGGCGGGGUAAAGGCCCACCAAGGCGACGAUCCGUAGCUGGUCUGAGAGGAUGAUCAGCCACACUGGAACUGAGACACGGUCCAGACUCCUACGGGAGGCAGCAGUGGGGAAUAUUGGACAAUGGGCGCAAGCCUGAUCCAGCCAUACCGCGUGGGUGAAGAAGGCCUUCGGGUUGUAAAGCCCUUUUGUUGGGAAAGAAAAGCAGCAGGUUAAUACCCCGCUGUUCUGACGGUACCCAAAGAAUAAGCACCGGCUAACUUCGUG